rnacentral:tRNA from 2 species
GUCCCCAUCGUCUAGGGGCCUAGGACAUCGCCCUUUCACGGCGGUAACACGGGUUCAAAUCCCGUUGGGGACGCAA